rnacentral:rRNA from 1 species
UACGUAGGGGGCAAGCGUUGUCCGGAUUUAUUGGGCGUAAAGAGCGUGUAGGCGGUUUGGUAGGUCCGUUGUGAAAACUCGAGGCUCAACCUCGAGACGCCGAUGGAAACCAUCAGACUAGAGUCCGGAAGAGGAGAGUGGAAUUCCUGGUGUAGCGGUGAAAUGCGCAGAUAUCAGGAAGAACACCCGUGGCGAAGGCGGCUCUCUAGUACGGUACUGACGCUGAGGUGCGAAAGCGUGGGGAGCAAACAGG